rnacentral:rRNA from 1 species
GAUGAACGCUGGCGGCGUGCUUAACACAUGCCAGUCGAACGGAAAGGCCCAAGCUUGCUUGGGUACUCGAGUGGCGAACGGGUGAGUAACACGUGGGUGAUCUGCCCUGCACUUCGGGAUAAGCCUGGGAAACUGGGUCUAAUACCGGAUAGGACCACAUUUUGGAUGGUGUGGUGGAAAGUUUUUCGGUGUGGGAUGAGCUCGCGGCCUAUCAGCUUGUUGGUGGGGUAAUGGCCUACCAAGGCGUCGACGGGUAGCCGGCCUGAGAGGGUGUACGGCCACAUUGGGACUGAGAUACGGCCCAGACUCCUACGGGAGGCAGCAGUGGGGAAUAUUGCACAAUGGGCGCAAGCCUGAUGCAGCGACGCCGCGUGGGGGAUGACGGCCUUCGGGUUGUAAACUCCUUUCGCUGGGGACGAAGCGUUAUGUGACGGUACCUGGAGAAGAAGCACCGGCUAACUACGUG